GACGAACGCUGGCGGCGUGCCUAAUACAUGCAAGUAGAACGCUGAAGGAGGAGCUUGCUUCUCUGGAUGAGUUGCGAACGGGUGAGUAACGCGUAGGUAACCUGCCUGGUAGCGGGGGAUAACUAUUGGAAACGAUAGCUAAUACCGCAUAAUAUUGACUAUUGCAUGAUAGUCAGUUGAAAGGUGCAACUGCACCACUACCAGAUGGACCUGCGUUGUAUUAGCUAGUUGGUGGGGUAACGGCUCACCAAGGCGACGAUACAUAGCCGACCUGAGAGGGUGAUCGGCCACACUGGGACUGAGACACGGCCCAGACUCCUAAGGGAGGCAGCAGUAGGGAAUCUUAGGCAAUGGACGGAAGUCUGACCGAGCAACGCCGAGUGAGUGAAGAAGGUUUUCGGAUCGUAAAGCUCUGUUGUAAGAGAAGAACGAGUGUGAGAGUGGAAAGCUCACACUGUGACGGUAGCUUACCAGAAAGGGACGGCUAACUACGUG
rnacentral:rRNA from 1 species